UUUUAAAAUUAUAUUUAUAUUUAUUAAAUUUUUUAUAACUUUUAUAAAAUAAUUUAUGAGCUUGAUUGACUAAGUUAAUAGCCCGCCCUAAAUUAACGUAUUCUUUCGUUUCUUACCAACACAGAUUCUGAUGUAUGAUUUGUGUGUGUGUAUGUGAUUGAAAAGAACGAACAAUAAGCUGCUGCAAUAGAAUUAACAAAAAUUUGUGGGAAAAAGCUUCUUUUCAUAAACAAUACAUAAAUAUAUAUAACGGAAGAAGAUUAAAUCAAGCAUUUCUGGGACAGCGAUCGCGGCGGUGUUCCAACAACAGGUGACAAGGGCUCGUACGGAGGUGGUGGGGGAGAAGAUGGCGACGGUGUCGGGGAGUGUGGUUGCCUCGAAAGAAGAUCCGGAUCGAGUUCGAGGAUUCUUAGAACUGUUUGAGAAUUCGCUCGAACCCAGGAUUCGAACAAGUCUACGGGCCACUCGGUUUGCGUGGACGCGUCUAACAUUCUCCUUGGUGGAUCCCAGCAUAUAGCAUCCGGCGGAUGGGACGAGCUUCUCGCCAAAACUCCACUCCCACGACUCGCGGGGGUUGGUAAAUUCGGAUUACUUUGAGGCGAACACGCUAAUAUUUGUAGAGCUUGUAUGGCAUUUCUCACCUAUUUUUAUUUAUUUAUUUUUUUUUUUUGUGAAAUACCAAGUGUCAAUAAUUUUUUUCUAACUUUCAUGAGAGAUGAAAUAAUCUCUUUUUACCUCGCAACUCAACGUGGCAACGUCUUGAUGCAACGUGGAAAAUUGGGUGUCCAGUCGUUCCACGGACCCUCGGAUGUGUUCUUCCAUCGAUUCUUGAGCGAUUACUUGAGCCGUCCUCCCUCUCACUAAAACCCCCCUUGUCGGCCUUCUUGCCUCUCGAUACUCGUCUCUGCGUCGUCGACGCAAUAUAAUUUGAAUAUUUGCGAAUUUUUUUUCAAGAAACAGGACAGAUACGACGGAUAAAUUUACCUGAACUUGGCGUGUCUCGGGCUCGAAGACGUGUGUAAAGGCGAUUUGUUCGGCGGUGACAGAGGCGAUGUCUCCCCCUCGUCAGGCACGUUUUCGUCGUCUUCGCUAAUGGAGGGCAACGUUAACGACGGCCCGUUCAUAUCCGAUUCUUGCUAAAAUUGAAACAAUUUUGGAAAUUUUUGAAUCUGCGAGACCGUCUCUCCCCUCUCCCCCCUCCUCUAUCCCCUCCGAUAUACUGAAGGAAUAUAUACUGAAGGUUAUUGUACCUCGGCCUCGUAUCCCUCCCGUAAAUUGUAAGUGAGAUCGUGUUGUAUAUCAUUUGCAAACUGGUGCUGGUACUCGGGAUACAAACGAAGCACCUCGACUAAUCCGUGCAUAUUUAUGCACUUUAAAUCGCAGUAGGUUAACGCUUUAACGUCGCAACUCGAUUUGACUACGACAUCCGCGGCACCUCCUCCACCCGCCCCGCCACCGUUACUCGUGUGCUGCAGGUGGACGUUUAUGUCACAGCCUACCAGAUCACCUUUGCCUUCAAACGAAAUUCGAAAUUUACGAUUUCGUUUUACUGGCAUCGUCGAAAUAAGGAAACGUGUAUUAAUAAACCAUUACCUAAGAUCGCAACGACCAUGUUAUUUUGCACAACUUCCAUGGAACCGUUGCACAAGUAAUAUAUGUAAGAGAGCGCGUCCCCCUUGUGAACUAAAAACUCGCCGGGGGCGCAAAAAUUAUUUUUAAUUCGGAGAGAUAGUAAUUUGAGACAGCCCUGGGAAGCGGGCUCGAAUAUAGGGUCUGAAAACGUGGACUCGGGUCAAUCACGGAGUGAUAAACGGACGGUGAUAAAACAACGACAACAAGAAUUUAAUUAUAUUCACCUCGUGUAUAUCUAUACCAUGGUUCAAGGACCACAUAGUUUGGAAAUAGUCUUGCAUACGUUGUUUCAGUUCUUCGGGGAUCUGAUGCAAUACGAAAAAAUCCUUGAGAUCCCGCAAUUUUGUUUGGUAUAGAGAUCUUCUAGAGUAAAUUCUUUGAAUAAUUGCAGUCACGUUACCAAAGACCACGGCAUGCAUCAGAGCUGUAGCAUACACGAUAUGUACAAUGUGGAAAUAAUUCCAAUAUUCGUGUAAAUUUCCAUUCAAAUUUAUUCCGUAAUUAAUUAACAUCAUUUCGCCCCUAAUUCACGUGUAUGCAAAUUUUUUUUUUUUUCAGUGAUCGAAAGGAAAAAAAAAAAGACAAGCGUGCGGCAAUCGAUUUUGAUUAAAUCGAUAAUCCUUACUACGGAAUAACGUAUAUAUAUAUAUAUAUAUAUAAAACAUCAUUGAUCGAUGAUUAUUUACUGACCACCAAUCAGCAUCGUGCAAAUUGAGAAGAACUUCUCGGAGAAUGUGUUGGCAGACACAUUUCCAAAUCCUACCGAUGUCAGGCUACUGCAAGUGAAAUACAACGCAGUGAUGUAACUUUCCGCGUGGGUUACGUUCUCCACCGAAAUCUUCAAUUUUUCCGCCAACGUGUGAAUCCAACCUGGAAAACGUACUCGUGUCAAAUCGCGAUGGUCGCAUCACUAACCGUACGAUCGAAACGAAGAUUUUUAUCGCGGGGAUAUAAAUAUAUAUAUCGCGAUAAGCGUGGGAAAAUCGAUAAUAUUCUUAAUUUACCCGAGUCUCUUCAAUUAUGUCGACCUUCGCUAGAUCGAAUCUCUACAGAGAGAGGAGUAUUGAGAGGUGAUCUGCGAGGCAGCUGAUUUAAUCGUGCCUGGGAUCCGCGUUGUACCAUCGUUUUUUUAAAUCCAGGCAUUUAUUCAUUCACGCGAGACAGAUUAAACGGAUUAAACCGCAAUUAAAUUUCGACUUUUAUUCUCUCCUGAGAGAUAAAUGUUUGCACACCGAAUAUAUAUAAAAGUGUUAAUUCGUUGAUACGGAGCCGUUUCCCAAAAAAGAAAAAAAAAAACAAAUUUCUGUUUGAAACGAGACGCAGGAGAUGUGUAUAUUUAAACGUUAUAUAGACACGAAAUAGGUUACCAGGUGGUUUUCUUGCGUACGGUUUUUUAUUUAUAAAAGUAAAGAUAAGUCGUUGAGAAACACUUUCCGUCAAGCUUGACUUCAAACAAAAUUUCACGUUGGUGAAAAAAACCUACUUACCGAGGUCCCAAUCGUUGUCGUUUCUCAAUCUCUCUUUCUCGGCGAUAACGAACCAGAUACAGGCCAACCAAUGCGCCACCAGGAUGAAGAACAGCAUCAACAUGGUCAGAAUCACUGCGCUGUACUGCGAGUAUCUGUCCAUCUUUUGAAGCAAUCGGGCCAGCCUCAGUAAUCUCGUUAAUUUCACCAAAUGAAUGUUACCGUGCCCCGAUUCCUGACGAGAAGAGAGAGAGAGAGGGGGGAAAAAAAGAAAAGAAUACACACUCAUUUCGAGAACUAACGUUCUGAAACGGGAUCGAGAUUGUUCAUGGUGGAAAUAAAGCGAUGAUUCGUGCAAGUAAACAGAAAAUCAAAAGAGGACAUCGAUAUUGAAGGUUGAAUCGAUAAUAAUUAUGUGUUGUUGCGUAUUAUAAACUUGCUGCUUUCUAGAUUGUACCAUUCAUCGCGGAGAUAUGUCGCUCGAAGCGUCGCUGAAACCUAUCCCACCGCGUUUCCAAGGACACGGAGGAAUCUGUAUACCGUACAAUUUAAUAAUACAUCGACCUUUGCUAAACGAACUUCAUUCACGUCUUCGCUUUCGGAUAUUGCACAACUCGGUAUCUCGUUUUCCUUACAUUUCUCGUUGGAGCAUCGACGUUUCAUUGGAUUCGAAAGCUGGAUUGGUGUAACUGUUUCGAGCGAGCACACGACUCCGCGUGUAUAUCGUGCAACAAUGGUUGGGAAGAAUAUGUAAAUAAGAAGCGAAAAGUUUCAACGAGUUGUUACAUCUUUGUGCGAAUAAUCUUCUCGGAGAAGAAUUUUCUCAUCACGAGUAAAAAUGGCCAAUAACUCUGUCACACGUCAAAGAAUCGAUUUAACAUAUUGAUCUGCAACAACUGUGACGGAGGAUUAUCUUCUAAAAAGUAUCCAUCUAGUUGUACCGUUUACUCGUUAAGCCGACGAGUGCAAUGUAUAUCACGAUGUUGCCAAGAUGACUGGCGUGACAAAUAACUCGGCGACGUUCAACAUCUGUAAUUCUGUAUUAGAUACCG